AGCAAUACCACACUGAUACGGGUGUGGUCCGACGCCUCUUGAAGGAUAAUAUAGGAUCUCCAUACCCUACUCCGACUCAAUAUGUCCACGGCGUACAGAAGGGUAAUAUAUUUCUCCAAUAAGCUUGGGUACACGGGGAAACCCAACCCUUUGGGACGAUGGGUCAUAUGGCUUUUCCAUGA
rnacentral:ribozyme from 1 species